CAUCCUUCAUGGAUGUUAUAUUUUCUAGAGACAACAAUAUUAUUUAAACUCUAACAAAACUUGCAUGAUAAAGGUUCCAAUGGCGUAUUACUCAAUUUAUUUCACUUGACUGGGCGGAGUUUAACCGAUUCGCUCACAAUAAACCAGUCCAUCUAUAGAUAGGUGUUUUAGGAUAAACUCAUCAAUGAAGUGUCCAGUCAUUGUUUUUUUUUAAUUCCUUUGAUGACACUGAUAGGUGAUUAGAAAUCAGUAAUAAUUAUAACGGCUAUCAUCCUUAUCACACACAUCUUCAAAUAGACUGUCCUUAUGCAAAUUAAAACGUAAGCUCCCCCGAUCAGUUGAAGAUGACAUUGGUAAUAGCACUAGUGUAGCAUUGUAAGCAAGUGCUUACAAAUAAAUUAAUAAAACUUUUUUUAAAUAAAACAUUCAGCUGCUUUUGGACUGUCGUCCCC
rnacentral:lncRNA from 1 species